rnacentral:lncRNA from 1 species
GAGCACGUGCUGAUGGACCUGUGAGAGGCCGUGGAGGUUGGUGAGAAAUGAGCAGCUGCCUCCAGGACCUGCUGUGACUGCUGGUGGCUCUUCUCAGCCUGUUGUGGCUGGACAAACUGGUGGCCCAGCAUGGCAGCUUGUGGCUUCCAGCUCCAGCACAAAGCUGUGCCACCCCUGGUGCCUCCGGGCUGCAGGACAGGGAGAGGCAGGACUUGCAGAGGCCAGCAGGCUGGAGGGGCCCUGCUGCGGCCUGCGGUCUCCCUUUUUGGCAAAGCUCUUUGGGAAAGAUCUGCUAAACAGAAAACAAGGCCUACUGACUGCCACUGCACCUCCUUCUCCUCUUCACCAUGGAGCAGCCACAAUAUUGGUUUUGGCAUUCCUGAUCUUGCUGGAGGAAAUUUAGUGUUCCUGAUGGAAGAGACAGUGACAGUCAGCACAGAAAAUCUGUGA